GCUCCUACGGGGCGCAGCAGUAGGGAAUCUUCCACAAUGGGCGAAAGCCUGAUGGAGCAACGCCGCGUGGGUGAAGAAGGUCUUCGGAUCGUAAAACCCUGUUGUUAGAGAAGAAAGUGCGUGAGAGUAACUGUUCACGUUUCGACGGUAUCUAACCAGAAAGCCACGGCUAACUACGUGCCAGCAGCCGCGGUAAUACGUAGGUGGCAAGCGUUAUCCGGAUUUAUUGGGUUUAAAGGGUGCGUAGGCGGAUUUUUAAGUCUGAUGUGAAAGCCUUCGGCUUAACCGGAGUAGUGCAUUGGAAA
rnacentral:rRNA from 1 species